rnacentral:rRNA from 1 species
GACGAACGCUGGCGGCGUGCCUAACACAUGCAAGUCAAAGGGAAGCAACUUCGGUUGUAAGUACUUGGCGCAAGGGUGAGUAAUGUAUAGGUAAUCUGCCCUUUGGACUGGGAUAACCCCGAGAAAUCGGGGACAAUACCAGAUGAUGCAGCGGAACCGCAUGGUUAUGUUGUUAAAGAUUUAUCGCCAAAGGAUGAACCUAUAUCCCAUCAGGUAGUUGGUAAGGUAACGGCUUACCAAGCCUACGACGGGUAGCUGGUCUGAGAGGAUGAUCAGCCACAUUGGAACUGAGACACGGUCCAGACACCUACGGGAGGCAG